AGAGUUUGAUCCUGGCUCAGGAUGAACGCUAGCGGCAGGCUUAACACAUGCAAGUCGAGGGGCAGCGGGGAGGAAGCUUGCUUUCUCCGCCGGCGACCGGCGCACGGGUGAGUAACACGUAUGCAACCUGCCCCUGUCAGGGGGACAACCCGCCGAAAGGCGGGCUAAACCCGCGUACAUGCCACCGGGGCAUCCCGGAGGCAGGAAAGGCUUCGGCCGGACAGGGAUGGGCAUGCGGCGCAUUAGGCAGUAGGCGGGGUAACGGCCCACCUAACCGACGAUGCGUAGGGGUUCUGAGAGGAAGGUCCCCCACACUGGUACUGAGACACGGACCAGACUCCUACGGGAGGCAGCAGUGAGGAAUAUUGGUCAAUGGUCGGGAGACUGAACCAGCCAAGCCGCGUGAGGGAUGAAGGUACAGAGUAUCGUAAACCUCUUUUGUCAGGGAACAAAGGCGGGGACGUGUCCCCGGAUGAGUGUACCUGAAGAAAAAGCAUCGGCUAACUCCGUGCCAGCAGCCGCGGUAAUACGGAGGAUGCGAGCGUUAUCCGGAUUUAUUGGGUUUAAAGGGUGCGCAGGCGGUCUGUUAAGUCAGCGGUCAAAGCCCGGGGCUCAACCCCGGCCCGCCGUUGAAACUGGCAGUCUCGAGUUGGAGAGAAGUAUGCGGAAUGCGCGGUGUAGCGGUGAAAUGCAUAGAUAUCGCGCAGAACUCCGAUUGCGAAGGCAGCAUGCCGGCUCCACACUGACGCUGAGGCACGAAAGCGUGGGUAUCGAACAGGAUUAGAUACCCUGGUAGUCCACGCAGUAAACGAUGAAUGCUGGCUGUCCGGGGGGACUGACCCCUGGGUGGCGAAGCGAAAGCGAUAAGCAUUCCACCUGGGGAGUACGCCGGCAACGGUGAAACUCAAAGGAAUUGACGGGGGCCCGCACAAGCGGAGGAACAUGUGGUUUAAUUCGAUGAUACGCGAGGAACCUUACCCGGGCUCAAACGGGGAGUGACUCAGGCAGAGACGCCUGUUUCCCACGGGACACUCCCCGAGGUGCUGCAUGGUUGUCGUCAGCUCGUGCCGUGAGGUGUCGGCUUAAGUGCCAUAACGAGCGCAACCCCCGCGUGCAGUUGCUAACAGAUAACGCUGAGGACUCUGCACGGACUGCCGGCGCAAGCCGCGAGGAAGGCGGGGAUGACGUCAAAUCAGCACGGCCCUUACGUCCGGGGCGACACACGUGUUUCAAUGGGUGGUACAGCGGGAAGCCAGGCGGCGACGCCGAGCGGAACCCGAAAUCCACUCUCAGUUCGGAUCGGAGUCUGCAACCCGACUCCGUGAAGCUGGAUUCGCUAGUAAUCGCGCAUCAGCCAUGGCGCGGUGAAUACGAAGCCGGGCCUUGCACUCACCGCCCGUCA
rnacentral:rRNA from 1 species